rnacentral:rRNA from 1 species
UACGGGAGGCAGCAGUGAGGAAUAUUGCUCAAUGGGCGCAAGCCUGAAGCAGCGACGCCGCGUGGAUGAAGAAGGUUUUCGGACUGUAAAAUCCUUUUCUGUGUGACGAGAGUGGACGGUAGCACAGGAAUAAGUCUCGGCUAACUACGUGCCAGCAGCCGCGGUAAAACGUAGGAGGCAAGCGUUAUCCGGAGUUACUGGGCGUAAAGCGCGUGUAGGUGGAUCGGUAAGUUACUUAUGUAAGCCCCUGGCUAAACUAGGGGAGGUUGAGUGAUACUGCCAGUCUUGAAUAGAGGAGAGGUUGACGGAAUUCCGCGUGUAGUGGUGAAAUGCGUAGAGAUGCGGAAGAACACCAGUGGCGAAGGCGGUCAACUGGCCUCAUAUUGACACUCAGACGCGAAAGCAUGGGUAGCGAACGGGAUUAGAAACCCCGGUAGUCCAUGCCAUAAACGAUGCACACUGAAUGUUCGCUGUCCUACGGGGCAGUGAGUGUUGAAGCUAACGCGUUAAGUGUGCCGCCUGGGGAGUACGGUCGCAAGGCUAAAACUCAAAGGAAUUGACGGA